rnacentral:snRNA from 1 species
GAGGUGUGAUUAUUGCUAGUUGAAAACUUUAACCAAUACCCCGCCACGAUGAAGUGAAAUAAUCUUUGUCGUCGGCAAUUUUUGAUAGCUCCAUCAGGAG